AUCUUUGUAAGAUCACCUGCUAAAUAUGAAAAUCUGACUUGAAUUUGUACUAUUUAAUAUUGCGUAUCUGCUCUAGUGGGCAGGACCUAGGGCUUAAAGGGGAACUUCCUUUCUCCAGUUCUAGGAACUGGGACUCUAAAAUGAGAAGCUGGUUGUCUGAAGUAACCCUGCAGGUGUGGUUGGGGAAGGUCUGUUUUUUUGGAUGAAGGAACUAAACUAAGCAAAUCAGCACUGUCUUAACCAUUAUUUAUUUACCUGGAGAUAGAAUUCUUUUAAAAAGAGUUAGGGAGCUGGUAAUAGCAAGUGCCUUUCAUUAUAACCACAUUUUGCAGAGCUUCAUAUUUAUAUACAAGCCUCCUAGGUGAUACACUAUUAGCUUGCAGACUUUCCUAUGCUUCAUUUCUCCUGUUGCUUUCGAAGAAGGCAGGAGACAUGUUUAAUAACGGAGUAUCUGGUGAUAAGAACUGCUUGGGCAAACCAGCUCAUCUGGACUGUUUCUCGAUCUUGGAAAUGGGAAGAGGAAAACUUGUUUCCUUCCUGCUGCUUAAGGAUAUUCUGAGGGUACACUGAUCAAUAACACUAAAUUUGGAAUGAAAAUACCAUGUGAUGAGUUUAGCCUGCUGAUGCUUCCAGUAGAUCCUUGUAUAGUUUCAAUAUUUAAGUUUUCUGAUUUCAUAUAAAUUUCUUAAAGUCAAGGAUCUUAUAAAGGUGCAGUGGAUGUUUGCUAAAUAUGAAAAACUUACUUGAAUUUGCACUCUUUAAUGUUGCGUAUCUGCUCUAGUGGGCCGGACCUAGGGCUUAAAGGGGAACUUCCUUUCUCUAAUUCUAGGAACUGGGACUCUAAAAUGAGAAGCUGGUUGUCUGAAGUAACCCUGCAGGUGUGGUUGGGGAAGGCCUGUUUUCUUGGAUGAAGGGACUAAACUAAGCAAAUCACUAGAAGUAUGCCCUGUCCCCUGCUCAGAACAUUGGGGAGCUCAAGAGUGGGCUGCAAUGUGCACCCCUCAGGAAUAGCUGUGAAUUGCAGUUCUACUGGCUUUUGGCUUUUUGUCUUUUGCUGCAAGGCACCCACGUACUUAACCAUUCUCAACAGUGUAAAUCAGUGUCAUUUUAGAAUGAGAUACUCAGCUUGCUUCUAAAGUCACUGAAUACUGAGUGAGUCUCUCCUUUAGAGUCUUCGGCAACCAAAUUCCAGAAUUGAAGAGUCUACUACUCAGAGGCAACAAGAUUAAAAAAAGAAAACACAAAAACUGUUGAGGUGAAAAAAAAAAAACCCUCACUGGGAACACAGAGAAUGUUUUGUAAGAUCACUGGGAUAUUUUCCACAACUUCCUCUUCUCUUGCACACACAUCUGUUGAUAGGAAAUAUUUGAGGGUUUUUCCACUAUCAAAUGGGAGCUUCAUGGUCCUGGUGCCAAACACUAUAAACCUUUGACCAGCUGAGCUGUGACUGCCGUCACAUAUCUGAGUCCUGUGUGCACAUUAAUAUCCUGGAUCAGGUAGAAUCCAGGUCUUCAAGUUUUAAGGAUUUUUGAAGAAUUCAGGCUUCUUUAAGACGAUCCAUGCCCAAAUCCACAAGCUUGUUGACAGUGGAUUACAGUUUGUGUGGCAAAGUCCGAGUUGUUACACUGUGCUUUAAAAAAAAAAAUCUUAUCUGCAUGUAUUGUUAACGUAGAGACUGUGAGAUCUAUUUAUCAGGACCAGGAAGAUAAACACUUCAGGUCCAUUGCAACUGACUUUUUUCUUGUUUUUCUCAAAACCUGGUGGACCCCAGGAAGGGAGCCUCCACAAUUCUGUGGCUUUGAUAUUGGCUCCAAUUCUCACAAGCACAUACAAGCCCCAUAAUUGCCGCAGGAAAACACAAGAUGGAAAAUUGCAAUAACCCAUGCACUGAGACUUAGAAAAUCAUCCUUACUAGGUAAAAUGUAUUAUGAUGCAAUAAGGGCCAACUGAUAUUUCUCACGUUGGGACUGGCCAGGAACUGCUGCAAAGAAAAAAAAACAGCUCCUUCUCCAUUAUUUACAUUUUAAGAUGUGGUGGGGGGAGAUUGGGAGAAAUUAAUUCUGAGGUUAUCAUAUGCAUUUUUUAAAAGAUAAUGGAAUAAAGCUAUUUUUAAGUAA
ensembl:lncRNA